GAAAGCAACCGCGGACAAUAACUGACAAGCAACCGGUCAGCCAGCCAGCCGUUCUGGCUGCGAAAAUCGCGUUCCUUUCCUUUCUCGCCAGCGAAUCUAGCAUCGCCUAUAUUCCAUCAAAGUGUAGCAAAUAUGGCGUGUUCUCUGCUCGUGACAAUGUGAAGUAUACAGCUCUAAGAAAUGGAUGAAACGCGUACCAGUGCGGUGAACAAGAGAUAAGAGAUAAAAUAGAAAUAAAUAAGUUUGGUGUUUAUUGCUGGUGUUUUCAUAGUGUUGUACGAUGAUCGCAUAAAUAAUCAAACGUGUACAUUUAUAAAAAGCAAGCAAUUGGUGGAAGGAAGCAGCAGGUUUUUUGAUCUCGCGGCCCGAUGAUCGAUGCAUCUACGUUUCCAGAAAAGUGGCGAACGGAGCGUGCCAGGGGAGAAUAAGAUCUCAAAUGCGCAGCGAGGCAACGAAGAAAUUGUGCAGGCAGCCGUCGGGAACAGCUGGCAUCACGGAAUGUUGACCUAGUGAUCGAGCCGCGAGUGUGUGCUGAUUUGACAUAACUGCGACGAAAAGUACGGAUGAAAAAUGCGAAACGGUGGUCAGCCACAGCAGACGGCGGUAAUGACGCCGCCGCAUUUGAACGGUUCCGCGCAAUUCGUUUCUGGCGGUUACGUCGGCUACGUACCACGCCAGUCCUGGGGGCAGUUUCAAGGGCCCCAACAUCCCAGGAACACGGCCAGACCUCUGUCACAUCCACCGCCGCCACCCUCCAGAAGGGAAAGCCAAAGACCCUCUGGCAACGGAUCCGCCAACCCUAAGAGUACGUCUCUUCCGCAUUGCAAACCUGGAACGCACAGGAGUACCACACCUUCGAAGGUGGACCCCGAGCUGAUAUUCACGAAACAAGAACGAAUUGGGAAGGGUAGUUUCGGUGAGGUGUUCAAAGGCAUCGACAAUAGGACCCAGCAAGUUGUUGCCAUCAAGAUCAUCGAUCUCGAAGAGGCAGAGGAUGAGAUCGAAGAUAUACAGCAGGAGAUCAUGGUGCUGUCACAGUGUGACAGUCCAUACGUCACCAAGUAUUACGGGUCCUAUCUCAAGGGAACGAAACUAUGGAUUAUUAUGGAGUACUUGGGUGGCGGCUCGGCCCUGGACUUGAUGAAGGCCGGUAACUUCGAGGAAAUGCAUAUCGCGGUGAUAUUGCGUGAAGUGCUCAAAGGGCUGGACUAUCUUCACAGCGAACGAAAGCUUCAUCGCGAUAUUAAAGCUGCAAACGUUUUGUUAAGCGAAAUGGGCGACGUGAAGCUGGCCGACUUUGGUGUGGCUGGACAGUUGACCAAUACGACCAGCAAACGUAACACUUUCGUCGGAACGCCAUUCUGGAUGGCACCGGAAGUCAUCAAGCAGGCUUCGUACGAUUCGAAGGCUGACAUUUGGUCGCUAGGCAUCACGGCGAUCGAAUUGGCCAAAGGAGAACCUCCAAACAGCGAGCUGCAUCCUAUGAGGGUCCUAUUUCUCAUACCGAAGAACAAUCCGCCCCAAUUAACCGGAAAUUAUACGAAGCAAUUCAAGGAAUUCGUCGAGGCCUGUCUCAACAAGGACCCUGAAAACAGGCCAACGGCGAAAGAACUACUGAAGUUCCAGUUCAUCAGGAAGGCGAAGAAAAACUCGUACCUGAUCGACCUCAUAGACAGAUACAAAAAGUGGAAGUCGCAGCGCAGCGAGGAAUCCGAAACGGAGAGCGAAAAUUCGGACUCGGAGGAAUCGAAACAGGAUAGCGACAUGGACGAGCCAUGGAUAAUGACCGUGAAAGGUCCUCACGGGGUGAAAGGAUCCGUGGUGCCUAUGCUACCGCUCGACGAACAGCCAACCUCGUUGACCAUCACACACACGCCGAAUCACAGAUCCACGAAUCACAGUCAGCAAACGAAGCCACACGCGAACGGUGCCUCGAGAUCUCCACCGAAAGAUUCCACGUUGAAUCAUUACAGAAGCGAGUCGAGGGAUUCUGUACGCGAUGGCCAAGCGAAACACACGCCGUCCCGACCGCACGAGGCUGCGCCACCGCCGCCCGUGGACACGCGAGAAAAACGAGAAGACCGAGAUUACAGGGACUUCAAUCGGGAUUCCUCGUUGAGGGAAUUGAAGGAGAUACGUGACAGCAGAGACAGCAGGGAUAGGGAACGUGAUAGAGAAGGACGAGAAAGAGAAAGGGACAGGGAUAGGGACAGAGACAGGGAAAGGGAAUUCAGCGCGAAAGAGAAGAGGAACAGUAAACCGGAUGUACCUGUCGUACCUAUGGUGGACCAUAGGCCCGGUGAAGACAAACAGAGACCAAGGAGCUCGCAGGAACUGAAGCAUCCGCGGAGCGCCGCUCUUUCCGGUGUUGUUUUACCUCUCCUUUCCGAGCUUCAACGGAAACAUCAAUAUUCGGCAAGAGACAAUAAUGGCGAGGGCGGAAGCGGCAUUGGCAAGAACGGUGGCGCGAUAGAGGAACUACGCAGCGCGUUCGAGACAGCGGAACGCACUUCGCCAGGAAUGACCGAAGCUCUUAUCAGGGAACUCUUUAAGUCUUUACUUCCUGCCAAUCAUUCGGAAGGUUGUCUGUUUAUGCUGAUGGAAAAAGUAAUUCUAAGGGAUACGUAGGGACGCGAGAGGGCGAGGAUUCGCAAGAGAUUGUGGUCCGAAAACAUCCUAACGUUGUAACGAUUCGUUAUUUCUCGUUUAAACAGAGUUAUUAUUCCGUAUGAUGCCGGUACGUUGUUAACCGGAUCCGAGCAUGAGAGAAGAGUAGAAGAAGAACGUCGCUGCAACGGCCAGGCCGUUUUCUUUUCCUUCGGUCUACAGAGACUAGACUCGACAACAAAAGCUCGUUGAAUUGUAGCUUUUAUCCGAUUAUCCCGUCUCCAUGUCCAAUUCAGCGCGAAGUGCUCGUUAGAUAGAGAGAUGAAAAUAUUAUAGCGACAUUUUGCCGCACCAAAAAUUCACUCAUUUUAUGAACGAUAAUAUCGACUUUUUCCGUUCAAAGCAGAGCAGAAGAUUUAGAGAUUUAUCUACUACAGUAAAAGAAAAAAAAGCUAGAGAAAAGUAAAAAAAAAAAAAAACGAGAAGAAGAAAAUUAUACCAUCCAAUUGCCCUCGCGCGAGGGUUACAGUUACCGUUAAAUCUUAAAAAGAUAUUAGCUCCCCUCCCCCCGAUCGUUAAAAGUUAGUAUUUGGAAAAAAUUAAGUAAAAAAAAAGUGCAAGAAAAAUGUAGGAGAUAGUUGAGAAAUAUUUUUGCAAAUCGUGCAACCACCCGUUCAGGAUUCUUUGUACGUUCUUCGUGUUCGGUAUCGACGCAACCAUAAAAGAGCGGAUGAUAUAGCGUAGGGUACAACCGUGGUCCGAUGGAUGGUGAAAGGGUAUUCGUUGAAGGGAUCUUGCCUCAUUGUAGAUACAUCCGGAACGUGUACUACCAUUACGAUUUUACUAUGACAUCAUAGCCGAAUCGUUGCCAGUCGCAGUUUCUUUCGAGCGAGUAUUCGCGUUCGAAGAUCGCGCUUUUAGCGGACAAAAAAUUCGAAGAUAUUUAUUUUAAACCGUAGAAUAUUCAGUCCAGCAACGUAGAGAAAGAUUUGAAAGUUAGCAAAGGGAAAGUGCUGCCCUUUAAAUAAAUGCCUUCCCGUUGCAUCCUGCGUUGGUGCACGUUCCGGAUUAUGGAAAUAAAAUCGAAGGAAGGGAGAGUGCCUCUAUGUCGGAGGCUUUGUAAAUAUGUAUGUAGCACGAUAAGAUAGUCUUAUUGUUCUAACGAUCGACGUCUCUGCCAGUCGGUUGCGCAGCUCCGUAACGCGAUCCCGUUUUACCUUGAUAUUUCUAGUACUGUUUUUCCGUGAUUGAACGAAACAAUGAGAAAAAGUGAGAGAACAAUGGUCACGAGAAAAUUCAUGCGUUUAUGAUCGAGGUCCGAAGCGUACACCCGGUUCGGGCGAAACGAAAAUUAGUGUAAGCAAUAUUGAUCGAGUAGUUCAUGCGAGUGGUAGUGCGCGAACCACACGAAAAUGUGCUUUCUUUUUCUUGAGCUAAAGUUCUUCCACUAGUUUCAUCCGGGAUAGGGAGUUCUUAUAGUCGAGCCGUUCCACGAUCGAGCCUGAGCUGUGAUAACUUCCGCGGGACGUCGGCACUUAAUCCACGUUGUUUGUAAACUAAUGUAUUUUAUAAAGUAUAUUAUAUAGAAAAUGAAAAAAAAGCGGAUGGAAAGAAAACACGAAGAGAUUCCUCGUAAUGAUCGAAUAGACAGAGAGGUUUAACAAGAACGAGGGAGUCGUCGUUUUAACGCAGGAUAGCCGCAAACGAAACGAAGUAGCUAUUUGCGACGAACGAUCGUUUCUGCGGAACGUUUGCGCGCUGUCCUGCACCGUGGAACAUUAGAAACGGAGGAAAAAGCGCAAGAGGGUGAUAGAGUGCGAGAGAGGGAGAGAGUGAGAGAGCAAGAGGACGCGCGUAUGUGUGGAAUACAAGAGUGUGUAAGAGGAGAGAGACGAUUAACGACAAAACGAGAGGAAAGAAAAUACGAAAAAAUGUUUAGCGCUGCGCAAAGAUGAAAACUAGCGUAAAAAUUAUAACGAGAACAUAGUAUUAAUUAACAGGGAGUCGUGCAGAAAAAGAGAGGCGACUGAGAGAGACCUAACUAUCGUAAGCCCGCAAUACAAUAUCACGUAGUUGCGUUUUAUUCCAGUCAGCGAGGCGAUCAAUGGAAGAGCCGUAAACUCCUACAAUUAUUAUUGUAAUAUUGUCAACGACGACGAACGAGAUAAUUGUUAGUACGUGAACACCUCUGAUCUCCGCUCUACCACACCCCCUUUUAUUCUCUUUUCCGACUCGUUCUCCUGCCGCCUAUAAUAUUUCUUUGUUUUUCACUCUUUAUUUCUGGCCCGAGAUCGAAAGAGGAGACACACGAAUACACAUACAAAUACACACACGCGCGCGUACACACACACACACACACACGCACGCACACGCGCGCACACACACACACACACACACACACACACACACACACACACACACACACACACAUGCAGAAAUACGUAGGAGGACUUUACUAUUCUUCAGUUGAAUUUACAUUAGUUAAUAUCACUACACUCUAUUGUUAAUAUUAUGGAUUUAUUCGUCUUAUUGUUGUUUCACCGUUGGGUUAGGUUCUUUUCGAUGACUUUUACGACGGUCGCUACCCCAGUCAUCCUCAUAAAGCUGCCAUAAACGCUUACCGGCUACGCUCUAAUAAAGAACUCAGAAAACUCGAAAGACUUCAACGAAUUAUCUUCCCGUAUCACUUCUUCCGAUCCUUUUUGCAACGAACGACACCGAUUCUACGAAGAGAAGAAAAACAACUUUAUCUACAAUUGUAUUACUCGUGGAACGUUUAAUCCUCUUUAAUAGCUUUAAUUCCUCACAAGCAUGCCUGUGAAAUUGUUUAGUCGCGAAUCGAACGUAUGGCUGUGUAAGCAGUAUAUGUUUUAAAGAACGUCAGGGAUCUGAGGCGUAGCGGUCGAUCUUAACAUUCAAAUCUGACUAAUCGUUAAAAGGAAUAAAUUGUAAUUCUCGAAGGGGUGGUUCACUGCGGAUUAUUCAUGUUCUACGCGAGUAUCAACCUUUCAUUAUCGUUCGACGGCUUUCAUUUCCCUUGAUAGCAAUAAAUUAGAUAGCGCAAGUAGACGUAUCGAUAGCGUUUUUAAGAAAAACGGAACUGACGAAUGAAUUAUUUAGAGACGCUACCAAUUAUUAAAGAGUUCUAGAAUCGAAAUAUUCAAGUUUAUCGCGAGUCUCUCUAAAUUUGUGCACGCUCGUACUUCCGCUGAAAGCGGAUUGAAAGUAAGCAGAUUUCCACGUGAAACAUCAAAUCGAAACCUCGUCUCUAUCGAGGUUUCUAUCGUGUUUUACUUAUAUUUUUGCAUAGCCAUACGUAACGUUAUAAGAAGCUUUUUACGUUCCCCUUUCUACUUUUCUUUUUUAUGUUUUAUUUUUUCCCAUUUCUCGAACGUUCAAGCUACUUUUCCCUUGUAAAUCUUUCGACAGAUCAUCGUGAGAGAGCUGUGAUUUUGAAUUUUAUUUUUGAAGAUCGUUUUAACUUUCGCCAAUAGGGAGUGAAAAAUUCGAGAAACAAAGAUCGCUACCGUUUCUCUUAGCAAUUUCAAAGAAGCGCUGAAGAAUAAUCAUAAAUUGCACCACGUUCAAUCCGAAUUACGUGUCCUACUGUAACCAGCACUCUUCUUUGUAUUAUAUUCUUAGCUAUUAUCCAUAAUAUAUUCACCGUUAUAACAUCGUGGUAACAAUAAUAUUACCUAUCGACGUAGAAUAUAAAUAUAUAAAUAUAUAUAUAUAUAUUUUUUGUAUUUUACUUCUACCUUGGCUGCAUUGGACUGUAUCAUAUUGAUUAUAUGUGGCAUGCUAAGGGCGUGUACAAAUACGAAAUAAAGAUCAAAUAAAUUACGAUCGACGACACUCUGUACGUUUCUUGAACCGCGUUUUAUCAUCGAUAAAACAACAAAUGUAUACAAUUUAGAAAAAAUUUAAUAACCAUAGAAUACAUAAUCCUUGUAAAUAUGGAAAUUAGAAUAUUAUUUUCGUUGCUGAUUCAAACGACUUAAGAUAUAAAUGCGUAAUGUAUGCUACUGAAUUGUAAAUUUCUUGGAGAGACAAGGCUGCACACGCCUCUCUUUUUUCUUUCAAAGACUAUUUUGGAAAGAACGUUCUUUUACCGAAGCGACAUUCUUGCGCGUGAUAGUCAGAUAUAGGAUCCGCCGUGGAAGAUUUAUAUGGAUAUUCAAUACCACGAGGUAAUUGGAACAUUGCAAAACAAUACACGUGAAAACCCACGUGCAGUUGACGGUCGCGUUUCACCUACGCUGCAAUUGGCAAAAUCUUGCGUCACCUUCGACGAUUCGAUCAUCCUGGGUCAUCCUUCGCGCGUUAGCAAUUUUACCUUGUCAUCCACUCGCCGCUACUAAUUAAAGCCUCGAGCCAUUCAUUUUUUCAAGCAGAAAUAUUCAGGAAAGAUACUAACCGCAAGACAUAAGAGGAAUCACUCGAAGAGUUAAGAGGAAACCAUAAAAGGAAACAGACAGUAAACCCAACAAUUCCACGGGUAUUAAAAACGAAGUCCAAGGAACUCGGUGACUUAGCAAGGACAAGAAAAAGAAUAGUAUAAACGUCAACAUAUCUUUUUAUUUAAAUAAAAACGUUACUACAACACUGCGAUAUUCAAGACUUCAAUUAGCAAUGGACAGUUCAUAGAAAAAUAAAUAAACUCCUCUUUUGCCAUCAAUAAACGAACAAAGUACAAGCAGAAUAAUAUCAAUAAGAAAAUCGCACCGCCUCGUUUUAAACGCAGUACACGAACCUUCUUUAUCACGAGCCCGGUCGAUAAAAGUCAGUCUAUGGAAGUGGUCGGACGUGAUUGCUGAAACGCGAGAGUACACUGGUGGAAAGCGCAGGUCUGCCAGUUCGCGGGCUAGGUGAGGGCGGCCAAGGGGGAUUAAGAGGAUAGGGAUUUCCUCGACGCGUUUCGAUGCGGUAGUCGACAGCAUCCCGCGGGUGGUCGCGAUCGAACAGUCAGGGGCGGGAGAGCUGUCGAGCAGAGGGUUCAACGAGGAACCCCUGUCUCCUUCUCUCUCCCUCCUCCUUGGCCUGUCCACCACGAAUUCGAAGGUAGUAGGUGUUUUCGUAAAAGAGAAACUCGCGUUCGACACGUGAUCGCGGAUAAAGUCGCCGGACUCUGGUGCGUCCAUUCGUAUCCCUUAAUUGAUCGUCGGCCGAUUUUCUCGUCGAGUAAACGCGAAGAGGACGACGACGCCCAUCGAAACGACUAAUUCGAGGGAAUUGAAGAGGCCGGUCGAGCCGCAACCUCUCGAGGACAGGGAAUCCUGGCACGCCUCCAACCUCCGUCUCUUCGACGACGCCGAUCUAGCGAUGUUCGAUGUCAGCACAGCAGACCGCGAAGUGUGUCGUUGCUAUUUUCAGGUAGAAAUUGGGAUCGUUGCAGUUUAACGCGAUUGAAACCGGAGAUACGUCGCGAGUGAAGCCGCACAAACGAGCACACGAACUGUAGAAACUACGCGCGUCGAAAAAGGGAAUAAAAAGCUCGUAAAUCUGAUGAGGAACAGGUUCUCCUAUACGUCUUUCGGAAUAUGCAAAGUGCGAGAAGCGCGCGAAAAGACGAACUUUUUUACGAAAUAGAGCGACUCCAAGUUUUUUAUACCAGAACACAUCUAUAUUUGUAGACCCUUUUUUCGACAUAUUUAUUCUGCAAACGGUAUUUUAACAAGGCGCGAGUGUGGAAUGGAUGAAUCAAAUAAAAGAAAUUACAUUGAAUACUGCAAGAUUUUAUCGGCUAAGAGAAGAAGAAAGGAAGACCGGUGUCUGGAUCAGGACAAUUCAAUUAAUUAUCGUGUACACGAGUGCAUCGUCAGACGCGUCCGUGUCAACGGAUAGACGUUGUUUUCUCGUGGAAUGAAUGAACGUGACCCUUGGAAUUCUUAUGCGGAUAUAGAGAGUAGACGCACGUGCUUCGUGAAUCGACCAAGAUUUGUGAUGGCCGCGCGUGCCAAACGCUUGGAGGAAUCAACCGUUAUGACGUGAUCCAGCAGCGAGAGGAGACUUUAGGUGGAAGUAGCUCAGGAGGAUUCCACGACUAUUUUAAGAACGUCGAUGAGCAUAGUUUCUGAGAGAAAAGUGGAAACUGACACGCGCCGGCCAUCUUCGAUAGUCGAUAAUAAUACAGCGGAACAAAAACCGAGAAGAAAAACAAACAUCUCCGCGUAACAGCUUUUAAAUUUUUUACUAUUUUUACGAUCGAGUAGUGUAAUCGUGAAUAUAAUACGAAUCAAAUAAGUGGUAUCGUAAGAAAAAAAAAAAGAAAAAAAAGG